GGUCUAAUGGUCUAGUGGUAUGAUUGUCGCUUCGGGUUUCUUUUCCCGGAUUCUUUAGAGUCUUCUAAUGUGACAGGCCCCGGGUUCAAAUCCCGGUUAGACCC